CGCUUCGGUAGCCUAAUUGGUUAGAGCGUUUGCCUCGAAAGCUGGAGGUCGUGGAUUUGAUCCCCGGCCAAGUUA